UAAGUACAGUAUAUGGCGUAAUGUAUAUGUAAUAUUUGUACAUAUUAAUAAACAAAUAUAAGAGUAAAAUCACGGUUUUUUUUUUGUAAAGGUGCGGUUUCAUUGAGACUGCGAGAAAAGAUCACUUGCACAAUGGAGGGGCACAUCGCCGGGGAACAAAGGGCGAAAGUCUGCUGAUUGAGAGAGACGGUGCCACAAUCUGAAACCUGCAUACUAACCUGAACAACCUGCUCCAAAUCUGCCUGGAGGGAUGGGCUAAAAAUCUAACCAGGGACCACCCCGAGACCAUUAUAGCAAGAAA